UAAUCAUGAAUCUGCUUUCUUUACUAUUUCUAAGUUUUAAUUUUCAGUAUUCAAUGGUUAUGUAUAUGACAAUCUGCAUGAUGUGGGUAGCCUUUUUUUCUCCAAAACCUUAAUCUUACAGGUUACAUUUAAAGACUUUUUCUUCGAAGGAUAGGGUUGCCAUCAUUGCUCUAGCCCCCUCCUCCCCCACACACACGCGCACAUAUAUAUAUGUGUGUGUGUGUGUAAAGAAAAUUACUCUGUUUCUUGUUUCCUAACUCAAGUAAUGUUGCGAUUUGCUAUUUCUUGGUUUUAGUUCCA